rnacentral:lncRNA from 1 species
GGAGACCUGCAGUGAGGAACGCGUCGGUGCCACGGGUGCAGGAGGCUCUUCCUCCCAGACUCGUCCGUAAGGAGUCUGGUUCGCGCCACCUGUCAAGCAAACCCCAAUUCUCGUCAAAGUCUCACCCCUCUCCUCUGAGUCACAGUGAGGCGCCUUUCCCAGGGGCCUGCAGCAAGGUAUGGAGGACCAGGUUCCGGCCCAGAGGCUGUGCAGGGGCGGGGCCACCGAGGCCAGAACAGACAUCUGGAUUUAAGAACAAUUAAGAGGGGCUGUCCCUGUGGCCAAGUGGUUAAGUUCACACACUCUGCUUCGGUGGCUCGAGGUUUGCCGGUUCAGAUCCUGGGUGUGCACCUACACACUACUCAUCAAGCCAUGCUGUGGCAGCAUCCCACAAAGAGGAAGUGGAAUGACCGGCAACUAGGAUAUGCAAUUAUGAAAAGCAAGGAAAGACUGGGAAACUGUCAAAGACCAGAUGAGACUGAAGAGACAUGGAAACCACAUACAAUGUAGUAUUCUGGAUGGGAUCCUGGAACAGAAAAAGGAUUCUGGAACAGAAGUCUACAGAGGAAAAACUGGCAAUGACUGGAUCCAAUGCUGAAUAGAUAACCUGACCCCUCCGUGCACUGCAGUGUUUAUUUAUUGACAAAGGAAGGCUGCAAGGAAAUGUGUCAUUUGGUGAUAAUCAGAACGUUUUCUUUCCUACUUGUGGAAGACUUCAUUGGUAUCAGUUCACCAUAUGGAAUGAGAAAUAAGCUUGUCCUUAUUUAGAUUCAACCUCCAUUGACUUCAUAUAAGGUUGUCACUGAAUAGAAACUUCAGAAUUAUCCUUUUGUGUUUAAUUUCAGUUUGGGAAAAAACUCACGUCAUAAUGCAGUAUACCCACCUUCCUACCUACCAGUCCUUCUUUCCAUUUUGGGGGGCAGGACAGAUGGAGUUAAUGAUACUGUUGGGACUGAAGGAAUUGGAUAUUUAACACUUUUCACUUUAUUUCAAAUGACCCUUCUAACGUCUGCUUUGGGAAAGAAACUCAUCAUUGUGUGAGGGUAAUACAGGAAGCAUUUUCUCUUAGUUGCAAAGUCCCCCCGGCACAAGAUUUUUAAAAUCUUUGGCAUUAAACCUCCUGGAACCCAUCCGUGUUGAAAAUUAAUUUUUUGCUUUGGGGCAUAUUAUAUUUACAUAUUUUCUUUUUAUUUCCCAAUAUUUAAUCUAGUGAGAAAAUAGCUUCUUAGGCCAAGCAUGGAAUCCAACUCACAGGAGCACAGAGUGGGAAAUCUCUGCAAUGUAAAACCACGACUGAGUAUAUUACUUAUAACAGUGAUCAUAUUAAAAACACUAAAUACGUGGUGACUUCCUUGUAUUUUUCAAAGUUUUAUCAUCUAUAUGAAAUUUACUUAAUAAAAUAUGUUUAAUUUUAAUGAAAAAUCGGUGAAAAUAAA